GGUUCCAUAGCACAGUAGGAUAGUGCUUCGUACCUAUGUGUAAACUGUAUUCACUUUAUAGUGAACGUAUGCGAUACGAGGGUCACGGGUUCAAAUCCCGUUGGAACCA